rnacentral:tRNA from 1 species
GGGGAUUUAGCUCAGUGGUGUAAGCGCCUGCCUGGCAAGCAUGAGGUCAUGACUUUGAUCCCCA